GGCCCACAUGUCGGGAUUACAUAGAGAUAUCAACGAACCGCGUGAUUUUACAUCAUCUAGAAGACUCCAGAAGCCACGAGACCGAAGCGGAGGCGAAACGGGGCUAGGCCCAGGGCGCCCGCCCUGGAGGCCUGGGCGCCCGCCCCCUGCUGGAGCCAGAUCAGGACUCUCUUCGCUCGGGAUAUUCCACCGACCUAUUGGAUCAAUAAAAACAUAGUACCACCUCGCUUAUCGACCCAAAAACGCAUAGAAGGGGAGGACUAUAUAAGCAAGGCCCCCCUGGCCCCUAGAGAAGACAUGAAGAAAUUAUCAUAGAGACUGAGGGGUGCCCUCGAAGGAAAACCUCUUCUCUAAUUAAUAUUUCUUUUUAGGCUUAGCAACCAAUGUAAGGUAGAAAUAGAUCUUCUAGUUUCUACUAGAUUGAGAGAGAUAGAGUGGAGGUGUAGAUUGGAGGAAGCCCGGCCUGUCGGUGUCUACUCCAAGCUUGUACCUGCGGGAUCAAGUUCUCCUAACCCGAAGCUUGCUCCUAGGAUUCUUCAGUAAUUCGACUUCUAAAUUCUAGUAAGUUCUUGUUUUAUUGUUCUUAUGGUUUAUGAGUUUACUUUAAUCUCUUCGCGUAGAGUUUAGAGUAAUCAUUGCUGGCGUAAACGUGGUGUUUAGGCUGGGGUACUCAUAGAUAUUCCCUGACUAGCUGGACCGUGGUACUAGUGAGGAACGUGACAAUUCCGAACUACCUUUGUAGAUCACAUCUCGUUAGCAGGAAGGAUAGGGUUUAUAGGUGCGGGUUGAACAUCCUUUGUGGUGUCUAGAUUCCGUUAGCCUCCCCAUUAGAACAGUAGAUCAUCCUUACCAAGGUUAGAAGGAGACUACGGUUGCAGUCUUCUCUAUUUAUCACUCACAUCGAAAGACAUUCUUUGUGCCUAAAGGUUAGUAGUAAUAGACCGGUUAGUCAGAUGCACUCUUUCUCCUAGUGGUAAAAAAAUAAAUACGAUACUCUGGAUAACCUCCCGGGUGAAGUGCUCACCGAUAUCCGUGCGCUUGCGGAUCAAUUCCUUAUUGCGUUCCCAAAUAUCAACAAGCAUUUCUGGCGCCGUUGCCGGGGAGAAAGACGGUUGCUGAGAUAACCUGAGUCUUGCUACUAGCUUGUAUCUAUACUUUUAUCUUUUCUUAUCUUUUAUAUUCUUAAUUUAUUUUCUUUACUCUUACCUUAUGGAAAACCAAAAUUCUAAAUCGAUCCAUGAGUCUGCAAUCCCUUUAGCAACUGACCUUUUACCAUGGGAAUCAUCACAGCCUAUCCAAACAUCCCAGUAUAAGUUAAGUUCUAGGUUGAUUGCCAUGAUUCAAAACGUAUCUUUUUCGGGAAAGGAAGACAAAAACCCUUACCUUCAUAUUAGAGAUUUUGAGCAAACAUGUGAUUGUCUUCGCAUUGAAGGCAUUUCUGAUAAAACUUUAUGUUGGAAGGUUUUUCCUAUUUCCUUAAGGGGAGAAGCUAGACAAUGGUACAGUCAGAAGGUAAGUCAACAACAAGGUGAAUGGGGAGUUUUACGAGCCAACUUUUGUCUAGAUUUCUAUUCCCUUGACCGUAUAGCCGACCUUAGACUCGAAGUCCUAUCUUUUAAACAAAAAGAUAAUGAAACUUUGGGAAAAUCCAGGAAAUGUUUUUCUAAUCUUUUAGAAUCUGGUCCAAACCUUAAUCUUGAAGACCCUGUUCUUUUAUUUCACUUUUUUCGAGGUCUUCAGAAAAAUCACAAACAAAUGCUACACACAAUGUCUAGAGGUUAUUUCUUUCGCAUCCCUGCUGAUGAAGCUAGAGUGAUCCUAGAUAGAAUCCUAGAAGCUGAGAUGGAUAAUACCCUUCAUGAUGAAACCUACGAAGCCGAAGUAGACACUCUACCAAAUUCUUCAUCUACUUUAGCUAUCCCAAGUUCUGAGCCACAAGAGGAAUAAAUUCCACCACCGGACUUCAUGCUGGAUAUAGAAUCUGAUCUUUUUGCCAAUUUUGGAAAUAUUUCAAACUACCAUUCUAUUGACAAACCCCAAAACGGCCAGUUUAACAUUUAUUUGCCAAGUGAAUAUCAAUUGAGAGAGCUUAUCUCAGUAAUGAGUAGCGAAUGGUUGGCGGAAUCAGAGCUUUCCUCUGAUGUGAUCCGUUUGGACACACCCUCUAUAACUAUACGCUGUGCUUAUAAUUCUGAUCGAUUUAAUGCUCUCUAUAAUCCUGUUGUGGGGAUCAACAUCAUGUCUGAAUCCUUUGCACUUAAACUAUUUAAAAAUCUUGUCUUAACCCCCACAAUAAAGGUCAUAAAGGAAUCUUCGGGACGAUUAGUCCCCAGUCUUGGAAUUAUUAAUGUCCUACCUCUUACGGUAGAAGGCUCCAUGGUUCAUUUGAACUUCUAUAUCUUUGAUACAUGGGACUUCGACCUGCUAAUAGGACAACCUUUUAGAAGACUCCUUUAUGAAGGUCAUACUGGAAAGCUACACAUUUCUUUUGGCAAAACUUUUAAAUUCCCAAUAAUAAUUUCACACUCCUUAAACAAUAAGGCCGAGUCAUAUCUUUUGCCUGAUCCUAUGGAGGAAGUAAAGGCUGCAUCUCUAGAGCUUUUAGAUGAACCAGACUUAGGAGACGAAACUCCUUUCUUCACAGAAGAAGAAGACGAACCUUCUGAGCCUGAACCCUUAGAUGAGUUUGCAGAAACACCUAGACCCCCCAUAGAGCUUAAAACUUUACCACCCGGUCUUACAUAUGCUUUCCUAAACAAUAAUCCAGAGUUCCCUGUGAUCAUUAGCGAUAAACUCACUCGGGAUCAAACUCUGCGAUUAAUGACCAUUCUUGAGAAACAUCGCUCAGUAUUCGGCUACUCACUUCAAAAUCUUACAGGAAUCAGUCCUAUGAUUUGUACCCAUCGUAUUCCAACAGAUCCUUCUGUUUCACCCUCUCGAGAACCCCAACGUAGACUUAACAACACUAUGAGAGAGGUAGUUAAAAAGGAAGUUAUAAAGUUGCUGCAUGCAGGGAUUAUAUAUCCUGUGCCGCACAGUGAGUGGGUGAGCCCAGUGCAAGUUGUGCCUAAAUUAAGCGUGGUGCUUAGGUUAAAUAGCCUUCCUUAAUCUGAUUAGACAUGGAGUCUAGUUUGGUUACUGAACUAAAAACUGCUUGAGUAGACAUUGGUAUAUUUUGUCAGACUAACCCCUGCAGGAAAACUUUCAAUAUCAACCUGGGAAGUCCUGAGAUAUAAACUCACAUCAGAUAUAAAGAGAGAGACACAUGAAGUUUAACAAUUUGCACAAGAAAGACAUAGCUCAUUCAUCAUAGAGAGAUGAUCCAUGGAAGGAGACAAAGUACAUAAACAAGAUACACAACCAUUAUGAAUGGGAAGUUUCCACAAGGUGAGAUGGUACCAUCACUGUUCAAUUAAGGUAACAUCUUAAGAUAUGUGACUAUCACUUUUAUAAGCUUCUCCUUGGUUCCGGCGUUCACAUAAAUAAAGAGACAAACAUGUAUGAUUUAUAACUCCAAAUUAACCAACCCAACUGAUUCAGCAUGUUUAGUCAUUUAAUCUUUGUUCCUAAUACUACCUUUGUGAUCUCACACUCCUAAUCAUAUAAGCUAAAAUGUUGCACAUUCAAUCUUUAGAAGAUAUAAAAAAACAUAAAUAUAGAUAGAUUAUCUUUCCAUUAGGUUGAGCGAUCUGAUCUGACAAAUGUUUUAAAUGCUACACUCAUGAUCUUAUUACCUAUCAACUUUGUCUUGCUCACUAUGCUUGAGGUUAGAGAAGAACAAAUACACUUUUGGUUCUAUUGGUGUUUUUCACCAACAGGGCCCAUGCACUUGAUCUCUGCCAUGUCUCUAUGAGUAGGUACACUUCGAGAAAAAACCUGAAGGAGUUUUACAACUCUCAGAUUCCACCAAGUGAAGGACUUGGAUCUACGAGCACAAACACACUGAGUAGGAUGCUGCCAAUGCCGCACCUCGAACUACUGGACAAACGAAGAACAUGGGUGACACCGUAUCAAGAGGUGCAGAUGUCAAGGCCCACACCUAAUCAAACGAUGCACCUAAAGGAUGAACACAGUGAGAAGUCUUGUCCAGAAGACUUAAAAAAUUGGAUCCUUGCCAGAAGGUAAAAUCGGUAUUUAUCCAUAUUUAUUUUUUCUACAUUCCUUUUCCUUUUUUAUUCCAUCACUUGCAUUAGCAUAUUUACUUUUCCACAUAGCAUUAGAAAAGAAAACAAAAAUAUUUAUUUGUUGCACAACAUCAUAAAAUCUAAAGCCCCAUGUGAGUAGACUUGUGGUUUAAAACCCAUAGGUAUAUUGACUAUGGUGGCAUAAAAUAAAUAUGUUUUCAUCUUACAAUAAAAAUAUAAAAAUAAUAAGUGUAUGAUCCUGCUAAAUAAAAUUUAUUAUGAGGAAUCUCCAUAUGAUAAAGGCUAAGAGAUUUUAUGCUAACACUUAACCAGUUCCACAAAAUCUAGCUUUUGGGAGAGCACCCCCAUCUAUCCAGCUAAGUGUUUCUACUUGCGUUUAUACUUUACUCAAAUAAUAAAAAAAUGCAUAAUCAUGAAAACCCAAAUAAAAAUUUUGUGCUUAUAUAUAUCUUUGCUUAGUUUGCUAAAUAAAUAAAUAAAGUGUCUAGGCCAAACUGAACAGAAAUGAUAAACUCUUACAUGGAUAUGAUAAAUAGUUGCUCUGCAAUGUACCUAAUUUUCAAGUUUGAGCUCUCUCUCAAGUUUAGGCAUAACUGUAAUAAUUUAAACAUGGUCUAAACCUGAACUUGUGGGAAGAGUACUUGAUCUAAAGUCUUAGUCGUUAACGGAAAUGAUAUGGAAAGGUUGAGCUGCUGUUUAUCUGAUCCUAGAGAUGCUAAAAUUCUGGAGAAUUUUAUCUUUGAAAAUCUUUAAAAUAACGCAUGAUGAGUUCCUGUAUGAUGAUUGUUUAAAUUCCUACCACAGCCAUAUAUAUAUGCUUGCUAGACUUUGAGCCACACAUUUACUUUUUACUGCUUAUGAGCAUUGAGUGUGGUCAAGCUGUGUAGACCCUUAGGAGCUUGUCAUGCGGUUAAAAGUCAAGAUUCACUUGCACGUUCACUCACACAUGCUGCUUCUACUUUGGAAGUACGCAUCCAUAUAUAUCCACUCAUUUCCAUCUCCAGAGCCACCAAAAAGUAUUGUACUCCAAAUCCGGAAGAGAAUAGCCAAAAACAUUCUCCUAUUUCUGUUUUUUUCUGUGAAAUAAAUGCUCGAGUUAUCUUUGUUACUACCACUUGCUAUAUUAUUUCGGGAGAUGAGUGCUCUAAAAAAAAGAGAGAAAGAAUACGAGGAAAUAAAAAGGGGCAAGUGCCCGGAACCUCGAAGAAAAGAAAAAGUGAGACGAGAGGUAAAAAUGCACAAUUGUCCGACAGUAGAAUUAGGGGUACCAAGAUACCCACCUGAGAGGAAAGAAAAAGAAAAUGUAGAGCAUCUCAUUCUCCUAAAAACCUUCAAAGUGCAAGAAAGGUAUGUAUCCCCAUAAAAGAGCAAAAGUAGAAUUAGUCUUUCACCAUUGUUAUCACCAUCAUCACCAUACACCAUUCACUCGCCACACAUGCACAUCUUGAUUUGACUUAUUGACUAGUUCUUCUGGAUCCAUGGUUUGACUAUACAAUAAAUGUCUUGUAAGUAUGUAUUAUCUAUCUCCCACCUAUGAGCUCCAGAUAUUAAAAUCUUAUUAGAGUAGGGUGAGAGACAAGGCAAUAUUACUAUGCCUCAUACAAAAAAUACCACAUACGUUGAGAGAAGGCAUAUACCAUUACUGCCUUGGAAAGGAUCCAGAAAUACCACAAAAAAGAGAUUUGAGAGAGAGUCAUACAAGGAAUCUCUGAGUUUUAUUUGAAUAUCUUUAAAAACUCCAGAGCUAUAGUUAAUCAAAGAACAAGAGACAUGGCGCUUGACUAGACUGUUCUAUCUUUUAACUGCUCAAGACACAAGUGACGGUUGCAAGCCCCAUGGUAAAAGGUAAAAUGAGUAAGUUUUAAAUCUUAACAGUUUACUUUAACUGAGAGAUGAGAUCUUGCUUGAACGCAUGUGUACUUUUAAGGCAUGAAACCACUGUAGAAACUCUUGAGUCCAUCCUUGCUGACGGACGAGGAAGUGGUAAGCUUGGGCGAGUUGUUGACGGUCCUUAAGUACCAAAUAUAAUCAUCAAAUAAAUAAAGAAAAGGAUCCAAAUGCAACCAACACCCAGACUUAGGGUUUUAUCUAACAGAAUUCCACGAGUUGGGACCUAUGGCUUCACCUCUACUGGGGCUACUUGGGGGUGAUGCCGCAUUGGGACCUAUGGCUUCACCUCUACUGGGGCGAGCUGUUUUGCGCUCCCGGCGGGGCCGCCAGGGUGAGGAAGCCGGUGCGGGCCGGCUGCCUCAACCUAGUUUAAAAGACUGGACACAUAGAGGAGCCUCAAGAAUAUGUCCUCACUGUGCUAAUGUCAAAUCAUGCCCAGUGGGAUUCUCAGUGGUUCUACCUGCGCAUCGAUGAUGGGCUCUUCCCCAACUACACCGAGCGGCUGAUCAAGGAGCGCCCCGACAACUAGAACUAUGGUGUCAUCAAGACACACUAGGCAUGGCUCCGUCUCGUUCUCGAUGCUCUGAAUUGUCUGCGCAAGGAAGGUUUGACCGCCGCCCUCAUCCUCUCCGCAAUCAACUAUCGACGGGUACUUCCGUUGAUGUCUCGACCGCUGAGGAUGCACGAGAUGGGUCCCUGCGCUCUGUCGCGGGAUCUCGAGGUGUGCCGCAUGUCAAACGAAGCGCUCCUAGAUGAGGAGGUGGCUACCAGGGUUAGGGUGGCUGUGUAAGAGAACCGCCCAAAUUAUAAGAGAUUAAGCCUAAUGGUGACCAUUUGCACAGUCAAACCAUCGAGCUUAAGCCCAUAUAAUCCCGGUAGUCCGUGAAAUCUCGAAGGAUUUCAAACCACAUAUCGUACAUACAGCCAAGAUCAUAAUAAGUUCAGCGGUCACCAUUCACAAUUACAUCUAGUUCGCAUCAUUCAUCAAAUACAUUGGAGUACUUAAAGUUAUUACAAACCAAGUUCUCAAGUAGCGGAAGCUUCAUAGUUUGAAAGUAACACACACACAUUUAGUUUGAUACAGUGCCAUAAUCUGAUCAUUUCCACAAAAGCAAAAGAGAAGGAAGAGUGACCAUCACCCUUGGUCUAGUCAUCACCCAUAGCUGGGUACAAGCAGUGAAUGCAAUAACCAUAGUACAUCUGCCCAUCUGCAAAACAACAUGGGAAUAGAACCCUGAGUACGAGAAUGUACUCAGCUAGACUUACCCGUCAUAAACCAAAAAUAAAAGACUCUUCAAGGAUCAUGAAGGUUGUAUAGUGGGGUAGCUGAGACUUUUUGCGUAGAAGCACUACUCAACUAGAAGUACCUCCUAACACUACCCCCUUUUCUUUUUAUUAGCUCAGGUUAGGUAUUAAUACCUAUCAUCUAGAUUUGCACCUGUACUAAUUCAAGCUAGUGUAGUAAUAUGAUGGGACCUCAUCAUAGCAUUCAUAAAUCAUUUAUCAUCAAAACCUAAGUGUUCCAUAGUCCUUACUACGAGGACAGGGCUCAUGUCAAGUGCUCAAUAUCCAGGAGCGAUGGCGAUUCAAAUCGAUUUCUAACCAGCUGGCGAGUUUAUUCCCCACACAAACCACACUCACUGAUCAAGUGAGCUACAGAUCACCGUAUUGCACUAUCCAGGACCAAUUCGUGGGUUUGACAGGCACCGCCCAUACCCGAGGACUGUUCCGGUGACCGAGGUAUCCAAGGUAUACCAAGGUUGCGCGCCGCGCCCUCGUCGUUCUCCUCAACCAUCACCAAUACAGCGCGUACAUCGGGCCGAUUCUCGGCCCGGAUAGUGGUCAGGCUUCGCGGUCGGAACGACUUAUCCUUCCAGCUAAGUGUGGGGCAUGCGUUCAACAUGACAAGAGGGCCGUCAACGAUCGGUCCUUAAUCGACACAGUCAGGGGCACUAUGGUCAACUCCACCAAAAGACCUUGCCCGGUCUCAAAUUUAUUUCCACACUUGGUUACUUUUCCUCAAAGCAUUAUCAGCUAAACAAGCAGGUGAUAGGAAAUCACCCGACUUCUACCGUACUAAGCAAGCUAAGCAAUAGACUCCGAGCCUAUCUAUAUAGGACAAGGUAGAUAAACAAGUGGUGAUAUCAAGGAGUAUAUAUGCAUCAACGGUAUCAAGCAAUUCCUAUCACUUAAAUGCAAUAUAGUAGAACAAGCAUAAUAUAUCAUUAAGUUAGCAAGAAUAGGGAGACUUAGAAUGCUCCGGGGCUUGCCUUUCUCAAACGUGCUCGGCUUGUGGUCCGGGCACUCCUACAGCUCUUCUCCGGGCUCUGGUCCUCCCAAAAGUUCCUGCUCCUCGGGUCCCACCUCGUUCUCAUGCGAGCCUGUAUGAUGCAUGUGUGCUUAUGAGUGCAAUGCUUAUGCAAGUGGGUACCAGAUGAUCAUGACAUGGUGCAUAGAUGACAUAGGUGGUCAUUUCUACAAGGUAGUCAACAUCAUCCAAGAACAUGUAAUCAAUUUAAGCAUCUAUUGCAUUCUCUCUACAAGUUGCCUUCAUGGUUAACCAGCAAGCUGACAUGAUGCUUCAAAGAUACACCAAACACUCUUUCUUCCAUUUUAACUUAUGCAUAACAAUUCAUAAUUUCUCUUAACUAUUAUCGGACCCACAACAGUAGCAUAUAUUUCUGUUUAUCAAUAAAUUCCACAAAAAUUACAGUAGCUCACUGGUCAAACAUAAAGUCUAUCAUAAAUUUUUCAUAAUAUUUGGACACUUAUUUUAGGCUACAAAAAUUACAAGGUUAUCCAAUAUAAUUAAAUAUAAAUACCCUACAGUUGACCAAGUGUCAAACAACAGAUUUCAUAUUUCUAUAAAUUACUUGUUAACAUAAUAAACACCCACAAACAUUUCCAGAUUGAUUGCAUGAUCCAAUUAUUUAUUAAAAAUCAUAAACCACUGCCAUGCAAGCAUUUAAAUCACCAUAAAUCAAUUUAUACAGCAAAUAAUAUGUGACAUAUUUUUCCCAAAAGCUAAUCAUCCAUGCAGAGCCAACAAAAUAAGUUUCAUAUUUUUCUAAGUUAUAUUUUAAUUACUAUGCAUUUUCCAAUUUUCAGCAAAAACAUGGAUUAAAUAUAUUCGUACAAAAAAGUUGUUCAAACAUGACAUGCAACCACACCAACUGGAGAUCUAGGAUUAUAGAGCACAUCAAAAUUUAUUUCACAAAUUUUGGAGCCAUGGAUCUCAAUAUAUAGAUUUAAUACCAUUUAAACUAUUUUCUAGAAAUUAUUUUCUGAAAAACCAAUUCAAAUCCGGAACGAAAAACGCUAAAGACACCAAGAUCCCUACCCGCCUCGGUCCCCCCUGCGGGUGACAGUGGGUCCCCGACCCCACUGGUCAGCGUGACCGAGAGAGAGAGUACCUCCGACGAGCGGAUCUCGUUGGCGGUGAGGUCUCCGGCCACGGGGUGAGCACCAACGUGCUCCCUGCAGCGAGGUGCACCCGAGGGUGCCCUUGAUUCGGCCAGAAGAUGACCAGAGCACCCCCGCUGGCAUGCAUGGCGGCACGGCGGCGCUGCUCGCCGUGGCCAGACCGCUCCGGUGUAGAAGAGCGCGCGCGGGGUACCGUUUACGCUUCCUCGACUCUCUCCGAAUCUAACGCGCUAAAGAAUAGGCAAAACGGAGUAGAAACGGGGAAGUUCUGACGUGGCGGAGCUCUCCAAUGAGUUCGAGCUAACUCCGAUGAGAGAUUCAGGGUUUGCGAAGGGUUUUCACCUCGGUAGAGCGUGCGCAGGGGCUUACCGCGGCGAAGACGAGCUCGGCGGUGGUCUUGGCGCAGAGAAAGGGCUACUAACGCGGCCUGCGGUGAGCGGCGGAGCGCUGGCUGGCAAUGGCGCCGCGGUGGAGCUGCUGCUACCGCUGCUGUGCGAGCGAGCGGAGAAGAAGAAGAGAGAGAGCGGGAGGGGACAGAAUGGCGGCUCGGGGCGCGGGGUGCCGUCCCGACCGGGGUAAGCCGGUCGGCCAGCGGCGCGUCCACGACGCCGGCGUACGGCCGCCACGUGGCCGGCGCCGGGUGGAGCGAGGCGGGCAUCCGCGCACGGGAGAGAGGAGAGGGGAGGCCGGGCCGCACGGCUUGGCUGGGCCGAAAGGGAAGCGGGUCGGCCCAGCAACGCCUGUCCCUUUUCCUUUUUUUGAAUUUCUUUUCUCCACUAAUAAUUCCAACUUAUUUUUGACAAGUUUAAAUUCUUUUUCAGCUUUGGCCCCCAAAACAAAAGACGUUCUAAAUAAAAAGUUCUACAACUUUGUUUCAAGUUGUAACUCCAAAUUCCCAAUAGGAUUUGAAAUGCAACUCAAAACUAGUUCUAGGUUUGAAUAAAUUCAUUUUGGGGCUUUUUGUAUAAAAUCCAUUUCUCAAAUUCUAUAGCUCCAAAAAUUUCACAAAAUUAUUCUUAAUUCUUCUAAAACAUAUUUCAACCUAAUUUAGGCAUCACAAGGAUUUUUGGAACAAACAUAUUAUUCUCAUCACAUUUAAGUUACAUAAAUUAAGCACAUAAAAUCAUACUUGGAUGAAUGCUAUGCUUAUGUGAUGCUAUGCUUGAUGAGAAUGCUUAUGAAAGGGUUUAUGAGACUAAGUGCAUGCUUAACACCUAGGGUGUUACAGCCCUUCCCCUCUUAGGGAAAUCUCGUCCCGAGAUUUUAGGUUACUAACCAUUUCUUAUGAAAUAUUGGGUAAACUGCUUUUAGGUAAUCCUCGGUUUCCCAAGUGGCAUCUCCAUCAUCGUGAUGACUGCACACUACGUUGUAAGUCUUGAUAACUCUAUUCCAGGUUAUCCACUCCCUGGUAUCUACGAUACCCACCGGUUGUUCUUUAUACUCCAAGUCUGCCUUUAUCUUGAUUCCUCGAGGUUCGAUCCUUUGCUCAGGCACUCUCAAACAUUUUCGUAGCUGUGACACAUGGAACACUGGAAAGAUUGAGCUCAACUCCCCUGGUAACUGAAUCUUGUAGGCCACAGGGCCAUUCCUUUCUAGUAUGUGAUACGGUCCCACGUAUCUAGGUGUAAGCUUGCUUCGAACUCGGAAACGCUAAACUUUCUUCAUUGGCGUAACCUUGAGGUAAACAUAGUCACCUAUAUUGAACUCAAGUGGCCUUCUUCUCUUGUGGGCAUAAAUCUUCUGCCGUGAUUGUGCCGCUUUCAUAUGUUGUUGUAUGAUUUGCACCUUUUUCUCAGCCUCGUUCACGAAGUCGAUACCAUAGUAUCUCCUUUCACCAGGUUCGACCCAGUUUAACGGAGUUCUACACUUACGACCAUACAACGCUUCAAACGGAGCCAUCUUAAUACUUUAUUGAUAGCCAUAAUUGUACGAGAAUUUGGCUAAAGGUAACCAUGAUUCCCAUGAUCCCUUGGAUGAUAGCACACAAGCCCUCAUCUGUAUCUAGCUUCUUAUCAGACUAGUUCCAAAACUCUUAUGCAUUCGCUCUCGGAAAUGAGCAGUGAACUGCGGUCCUCUAUCUGAUAUGAUGGUCUUGGGAAUACCAUGCGACUUGACAAUCUCAGCUAGAUACAGAUCAGCAUACUCGGGAGGUCUGUAACGAGUCUUAACAGGAAUGAAAUGAGCCGACUUGGUCAAUCGAUCUAUGAUUACCCAAAUCGAGUCAUUCCCCUUUCGUGUAGUCGGCAGACCUAUGAUGAAGUCCAUACUGACCUCUUCCCACUUCCACUCUGGAACUGAUAACGGCUGCAACAGACCUGCAGGUUUCAUGUGUAUAGCCUUGACUCUGCAACACGUGUCACAACGAGCCACAUAUGCUGCUAUCUCUUUCUUGAUUUUGGUCCACCAAAAGUGAGACCUUAGAUCUUGGUACAUCUUACUACUGCCAGGAUGGAUAGAAAGUAACUCACAGAUGCGCUUCAUCCAUAAAGAGAUUCUUUAGUUCUCGAUUUUUUGGAACUACUAACCGGUGCUGAAACCACAAUACACCCUUCUCAUCAACUCGGAAUUGAGUCCUUGGAUCGUCUUUGAUCUUCUCUUUGAUGUGAAAAAUACCCUUGUCUGUUUUCUGACUUUCGAUAACUUGACUUUCAAGUGAACAGCUGAGCUGUAUGUGACAUAAGACUUCAGGAUGCAUGAGAUCGAAACAAUCCUCAAACAAAGGUUGAACUACUUGAUAGUGUGGUUUGCGACUUAAGGUGUCUGCUACCACAUUAGCCUUGCCUGGAUGAUACUGGACCUCCAGAUCGUAAUCCUUGAUCAGUUCUAACAAUCUUCGUUGCCUCAUAUUUAGCUUGGACUGACUGAAGAUGUACUUCAGUCUUUUAUGUUCUGUGUAGAUAUGACACUUGUUUCCUAGUAAUAGUGCGUCCAGAUCUUCAAAGCGUGCACUACUACUGCUAGCUCGAGGUUGUGAGUCGGGUAGUUGACUUCGUGCUUUCUUAACUGUCGUGAAGCGUAAGCUAUAACUCUGCCGUCUUGCAUCAGCACACAUCCUAACCCACUUUUCGAUGCGUCGCAAAACACAUCAAAAGGCUUCUCGAUAUUGGGUUGUGCUAGAACGGGAGCGGUGGUCAGCAACUUUCGCAAAGUGCGGAAGGCUAGUUCACACCCUUCCGUCCAGACAAACUUAUGAUCCUUUUGUAGUAAACUGGUCAUUGGCUUAGCAAUCUUGGAGAAGUCAGGUAUGAAACGACGGUAGUACCCGGCUAGGCCAAGAAAGCUUCGAACUUCCGAGACAGAAGUUGGUGCCUUGCAGUCCAUGACUUCCUGUAACUUUGACGGAUCCACAGAAUGUGCCCUAGGAAAGGAACUUUCUUCAGCCAGAACUUGCACUUGCUGAACUUUGCAUACAACUGAUGCUCUCACAGUCGUGUUAGCACGACUCUUAGAUGCUCGGCAUGAUCUUGCUCAUUCUCUGAAUAGAUCAGAAUGUCAUCGAUGAAUACCACAGCAAACUUGUCUAACUCUGGCAUAAAGACCAAGUUCAUCAGAUACAUAAAGUAUGCAGGAGCAUUUGUCAACCCAAAGGACAUGACAAGAUACUCAUACAACCCAUAUCUAGUAGAAAAAGAAGUCUUCGGUAUAUCUUGCUGACGGAUCUCGAUUUGGUGAUACCUGGACCUCAAAUCUAUCUUGGAAAACACUUUUGUGUUGGACAACUGAUCAAACAAGAUAUCAAUUUGCGGCAAAGGGUACUUAUUCUUGAUUGUCACCGCAUUGAGUGGACGAUAGUCCACGCACAUGCGCAGCGAUUGAUCCUUCUUUUUCACAAACAACGCUGGACAACCCCAUUCUGACAAACUUGGCCGGAUGAAUCCUUUAUCUAACAACUCCUUCAGUUGAUUCUUCAAUUCAGCGAGUUCAUUUGGCGGCCUAAAAAACAUCAGGGAACUCACAGACCACUGGUAUAUGUUCUAGUGGAACCACCUAUACUGCACACGAAAGACUGGCGAAGUCUAACCGCUGAGGUAGCUUGACCUGAAGCAUACCCUCCCCCUGCGGAUCCUUAAGGGAGAGAGUUCUAUGUCCAGCAUCUAUAACUGCACCCCAGUCAGUCAUUUUAUUCAUUCCAAUGAUAACAUCCAAAACCAGCCCUGGCAUCACCACAAGGUUUACGCGAAACCUUCGGCCACUGAUAUCUAAGGUAACCCCCGCUACUGCUUUGUUAGUCAACACAUCAGCCCCUGCUGAGCUGAUACGAUAACCAUAACCCAACUCGGUAACUGGUUGGUCAUGCUUUUGUGCAAAUGCUUGGCUCAUGAAUGAAUGUGAUGAUCCAAAAUCAAACAAAACAACUACAAGAUGUUGGUUGACAGGAAACAUACCAGCUGUUACCGGUUCUCCUUCCGGGAUCUCCUCUAUCGAGGUAUGGUGCACCCGAGCUGGGUAGGUUGCCUGCUGCUUCUUGGGGUAGGGACAUUCCUUAGCAAAGUGCCCAUCUUGUGGCAGUUAUAGCACGGUCCCUUGGUCAUGUUGUUGGCAGCAGGUGCCGUAGCUUGAAUUGCCUUUGGCUUGGUGGGAGCUAUCGCUACCUUGUACGGCUUCUGCUGCGUUGGAUGCCCUAUGUUCCUCCUCUGCGGCGGUCGGAACCUAGCACCUGGGGUAGGAGGACGAUACUGCUGUCGCCCUGCCACUGGUGCCCUGGACUGAGACGACCCGGCUUCAAAAGCCCUCUUGCGACACUAGGAUGCAAUAUAGUUGUUGUUCUUGUUCUCCUGGGUCAAACAGUCACUGAUGUAGGCAUUGAAGGGUCUUCAGCAUCUUUGGGCUCAAGCCUCUCUAGAAACUGGCGAUCUUCUUGGCCUCUAUGUUCACAAACUCGGGAGUGUAACGGGCGAGAUUGUUAAAAGCGUGCAUAUACACCUUCACAGACUUCGUUCCCUGGUACAGCCUCAUGAACUCUCCAACCUUCAUUUCCACCACACCCGGAGGAAUAUAAUUUCCCCGAAAGGCGGUGGUGAAGCGGUUCCAAGUGAUCGGGGUCCCCUCUGGGUAGGUGGUACGAUGAUGGGACCACCAAAUCCUAGCAGGUCCCUGCAACUGAUUUGCUGCAUACUCAACUUUGAGCUCUUCGGUCAUCCGGAGGAGACGGAACUUUUGCUCCAUGGUGUUAAUCCACUCAUCUGCCUCGAGUGGUUCCAAGGCCUCCUUGAAGACCGGUGGUUUGGUGUCCAUGAAGUCCUUGAAAGAGCUAUACUGAUUGACUUCACGACCGCCCUGGUUAUCUCCAUGGUGAGUGUUGUCAGCGAUAUUGCGUAGGGCUUCUUCCAUGUUGUGCUGCAUCUGCUCCAUGUUGUGUUGGCUCCCUAGAAACUGCGCGAAAAACACGUCCGCAGUGUAGGAGGAGGGGGUGAUGGCGGCGGUGAUGGUGCUCUCUCCUCAUUCCUUUGAGCCCCACCUCCGGAAGUACCUGCUCCAAGCCUAGGUUGCUGUUACCCCCGCCACGUGUUUGCACCAUCUGCAUGCGUCAAUGAUAAGCAGUCGUUAGGUGUUGCCAUCAACGGUAGACAUAUGUAGAAUUAUGCCGUACUGAAUUUACUGAGGAAAAUAAAUCCGCACAAUAAACAGAGGCAUAACAAUUUAUCAUCCACACACAACAUCACUAACGGAUUACUUAACAUUUGAGCAACAAGGUUCGCAUACAUCCAAAAUUGCCAGCAUACAUACACUGGACUUUCAGCGUUUAACACAGCUCACACAUAGAGUCUGACACAACAAUGAUCCAACAGAUUACAAGACAUGCCAUGCAACAACAACAUCAAAAGAAGAAGGACUAGCUCUAGAGCCCCUACCAUCUACUCGCUAUGGUCGCUGUCCAUGCCGGAGCCCUCCUCGUCUUCCUCUCCACUAGCGGCUGCCUCCAUCUCUGGGUCCUCAUCCAUCUCGUCCUCAGAGUCUAACUCAGCUGCUCCAGGCAGGUGGUGAGGGUGGAGCUGGUUAUGCAGCUGGUGGAUCUCCUCAUGCAGGUUCUCAUUGUACUCCUCAGCAUUAGCCAGCUGCUGCUCAAGCUCUAGCUGUCGGGCCCUUAGGGUGUCCUCCUCGUGCCAGGCUUCAUUCCUCUGAUCAAGCACAUGAACUAGCAUGCGCUCGCAGUUCCUGUGAGCGGUGGUCACCCUGUCCCUCUGCUCCCUCACUGCGAGCAGGUCCUGACUCAACUCACUGUUCUUCUGGACUGCCUGAUCCCUCUCGCGGGUCACGUGGGCCAACUCUGCCUGCAACCUCUCAACCUUAGUGUCAAACUCACGCUGCAGCUAGCGCUUCUCAUCCUAAACUGUGAGAAGAGACCCGGACAAGUGUCCCAAACAACGCUCCAGACCCCCAUAGGUCUUCAUCAAAGCGAACAUAGCACUCAUAGCUGCACUGUCACUGUGCUGAUCCUCAUUGUUGACGGUUCUUAAGUAUUAAUUUUAAUUAUCAAAUAAACAAGAGAAAGGACCAAUAUGCAAACAACACCUAGAAUUAGGGUUUGAUCUGACAGGAUUCCACGAGUUUUGUUGUUUAUCUGUUUCUGUAGGGGGUUAUCAGGAAAUAAGGAAGAAAGGCCCACAUGUCGGGAUUACAUAGAGAUAUCAACGCACCGCGCGAUUUUCCACCAUCUAGAAGACUCUAGAAGCCACGGGAAGAAGACGGAGGCCGAAAGGGGCCAGGCCCAGGGCGCCCGCCCUGGUGACCUGGGCGCCCGCCCCCUGUUGGAUCCAGUUCGGGACUCUCUUCGCUUCGGAUGUUCCACUGACCUAUUGGAUCAAGAAAAACAUAGUACCACCUCGCCUAUCGACCCAAAAACGCAUAGAAGGGGAGGACUAUAUAAGGAGACCCCCUGGCCCCUGGAGAAGACAUGAAGAAAUUAUCAUAGAGAUUGAGGGGUGCCCUCGAAGGAAAACCUCUUCUCUAAUUAAUAUUUCUUUUUAGGCUUAGCAAUCAAUGUAAGGUAGAAAUAGAUCUUCUAGUUUCUACUAGAUUGAGAGAGAUAGAGUGGCGGUGU
rnacentral:lncRNA from 1 species